UCCUCCUGCUUUCCGUUUUAUUAAGAAACUGCGAAAACUGGAAGGAACGCCAAAUAUGACAUCAGCACAAUGGAAAACGUGCUGCCCUCCUCAGGCAACCUGCCGUGAGGAGCUCACUGCUGCCUUCAGGCCAGACACUAACGCCGGACAGGCGCCACUACAAGAAAUAACAGUCUUUAAUUUUAACAACCAAGCCAGAACUCGGGAACAAAAAGCCAGCCACCGCAGCCCCCAACUCGGUGACGCGUCCGCUCCCCCUGUGAGGGCAGGGCGAGGCCCGCAGCGCCUUUCUCAGCUCUGCUCACAGGCUUUAAAAUGGCGGCGGGCGAGCGGCGAGUAGGGAGGGAGCAGUGCUGGCACGGGCCCUCGCAGACCUUCCUGACAGGGGCUUAGACUGCGCUGCCGUGAGGAGGGAGUUGAGGGACUACUGUGUAGCUGACAAGCACCUGCCCCAGGCGAAGGGCUCUCCGGGCAGCGGACGGCGAAGGGGGAAGAGGGGGAUACGCAGCCCUCCCUCCUGUCUCCUCCCUCUUCGCUCCGCGCACGCCAGAGCCAGCUGGGAAGAGUCGUUUGUGUCGGGGAAACAAUUUAAACAAAGUACCGGUGUGAGGCUUCUACAAUCACCACUGAAUACCAUUGCCCAACUGAAUGAGCAUACAGGAUACGCUUCAGAUUCUGGAAAUAUCAAGCAGCUGACUCAGGAGCUGACUUUUCUUUCCAGACAGCCAACAAUCACUGAUUUAUUUUGGAAGUGACCUCCUGCUUACCUCUAACUCCAUACUGAUUACUGAGAUUACACCAAUGCUUUCUGGAAGUCUAGAGUCAGCAGACUUGGUUUUCAUGUGAUGUUUACAUACUCUUCUUAUCACCUCAG